AUUGAACGCUGGCGGCAGGCCUAACACAUGCAAGUCGGGCGAUUCUGGUUUCGGCCAGGAGAGCGGCGAACGGGUGAGUAACACGUAGGAAUCUGCCUGGUAGUGGGGGACAACGUCUCGAAAGGGACGCUAAUACCGCAUACGCCCUACGGGGGAAAGCAGGGGCUCUUCGGACCUUGCGCUAUCAGAUGAGCCUGCGUCGUGAUUAGCUAGUUGGCGGGGUAAAGGCCUACCAAGGCGACGAUCUGUAGCGGGUCUGAGAGGAUGAUCCGCCACACUGGGAAUGAGACACGGCCCGGACUCCUACGGGAGGCAGCAGUGGGGAAUAUUGGACAAUGGGGGGAACCCUGAUCCAGCCAUGCCGCGUGUGUGAAGAAGGCCUUAUGGUUGUAAAGCACUUUAAGCGAGGAGGAGGCUCUUUUGGUUAAUACCCAAGAUGAGUGGACGUUACUCGCAGAAUAAGCACCGGCUAACUCUGUGCCAGCCGCCGCGGUAAUAC
rnacentral:rRNA from 1 species